GCGGUUUUGGGGAGAUUUUCGCGAAGCAACCCAGUACCGGAGAGAGACAGUACCACGCCACCACGGCCACGCUGGCUCUCUCUCAAAUCCCCACCAUCAGCUCGAGCGCUGGGAUUGAAGCGGAGGAAACGCCUGGAGUUCUCCGAUCUAAUUCCCGGUGGAAGCGACGGAAUCUGUCUGCCGCGGCGGUCUACUUCUCUCCGUGUCGGCCGGAAUCCGCCGACCGGCUGAGCCUUCCGGUAUUUGCCGCACCUAAUCUGCCCUAGUCUCGAAUCUCUACCGCUGCUCGACGGUAAAGGGUUAUCGCUUCAAAUCGUAUUUACAGUUGCUUAAUGUUGUUAGAUUGUGCGGGCAAAAUUACUGAACCAGUUGUUCGAACCCACUUUCCAAAGCUGGUGUACAGGCCUGAAGUUGUUUGGGCUUUGGUAUAGUGUUGGUUGUGCUGUGUCGUAGCAUUCAAAUUAGUGUGCGCUAUUGUGAAUCUGUACUGGUCAUAUGAAAGCCAAUGUUAAAUUAGAACUGAUAUGAGGAAUGACCUUUCCACUGUUAUUGCACCUGUGAAUCUGAACUUUUGCAUGUAUUCUAGUGGCCAUUUGAGUUGGCAGUUCAUUCGUUGGCUAAUCCAGAUUUUCUAGCAAUUAACUGGUUUAAGUGUGAAGAAGUUUGUUAUUCCAUCCACAGUAUCGAGCAUCACUACCUGAAGAUAGGAUCUCUGGAUUGACACUGCAGAGUGCAAACUGGUGAUGCUCCCAACUGCUUGUUUAUGAAUAUUCAGCAUAAGACAUGUUUUGUCUUCUUUUUUCUACUCGCAGGAUUUUAUCCACACCGAUUUAUGUCAUUGUGUGGAUCAUGUCUAGCAGUUCAAAUGCUGUUUUAAGUUUGCAUAGAAAUUCUCCCUCCCAUUGGAGUCCCUUCAAUGACGCUUCAGUGUUUUAGUAUUACGGAAUUGAGGUGUCCUUUUACAUUUUUUUUCAAUAAUUGGCUAUCAUUUUUAUUUCUGCAUUUUUCAUCUGCCUUCUUUGUUUCUUUAACCAGACAGUUACUUUUUUGGGGUGGUUGUCCUUAUAUUGGUAUACAAGGAAAAGGCCAAUGCUAGUCUACUAUCAGCAGCUUCAGUGUGGACCUCAGGAUCCUAGUUCAACAGUGGCAGACCACACCACAAGCACUCUACUGCUAGGAUGGAAAGAUGAACUCUCUUGAUCAUCAAAAAAAAAAAAUCUGCUCGGAGUUUAGCAAACGGCCUUUCUCUCAAGUUCAGGGAAUGGCUGCGAAGUGAAGAUUCAGAUGAUCAAACUUCAGAAAAUUAGGAAAACACAUUGUUUGUUAUGUUGUCAGAGAGAUUUGAGCUAUGCGUUUCAAUGCUGCCCUGUACAGCUAGAUUGAGGACACCAUUUGCUUGACAAUGAGUUUUAAUAAUGCAUGAAUGACUGUUCUCAUCUUGGAUUCAUCAACUCCAGAUCGCAAGGUUCUUCAUGCUAUCUUUGACACUACCAUAUCCGGCCCUACUGCACUGCCAUUGUAAGUUUUGUCUCAGUCCGAGCAGUCUCUUAUGUGAUGCUGAUUAGUUCAGAGUUUGUACCUUCCUGAACCUGUGUACAUAGUCUAUUCAAUGCUCAACUAACUUGUCUGGGAAAUCGCUUUGAAGUUGUAUACUUGCAAGUUAAAACCAAUCACAUCUCUUAUGUGAGUCUUGAAAGUUGUAACUUUCUGACCUUGCCAAUCGAUAUAUUGCAGAAUCUAAAUCACUACUGUUACUAUUUC